rnacentral:rRNA from 1 species
GACGAACGCUGGCGGCGUGCUUAACACAUGCAAGUCGAGCGAGAGAAGUUCCUUCGGGAAGGACUCUAGCGGCGGACGGGUGAGUAACACGUGGGUAACCUGCCUCAUAGAGGGGAAUAGCCUUCCGAAAGGAAGAUUAAUACCGCAUAAGAUUGUAGUACCGCAUGGUACAGCAAUUAAAGGAGCAAUCCGCUAUGAGAUGGACCCGCGUCGCAUUAGCUAGUUGGUGAGGUAACGGCUCACCAAGGCGACGAUGCGUAGCCGACCUGAGAGGGUGAUCGGCCACAUUGGGACUGAGACACGGCCCAGACUCCUACGGGAGGCAGCAGUGGGGAAUAUUGCACAAUGGGGGAAACCCUGAUGCAGCAACGCCGCGUGAGUGAUGACGGUCUUCGGAUUGUAAAACUCUGUCUUCAGGGACGAUAAUGACGGUACCUGAGGAGGAAGCCACGGCUAACUACGUGCCAGCAGCCGCCGUAAUAC